GGUAGCGUUACUGUGCGGCGUGAUAUCUGCGCGUUGCGUGUAUGGGGAAGCAGCUGCCGAUGUGAUCUCUGACACUGAGAAACUGAGACAAACACCUGAACACACGAUUCCAGCCAUACGGCUAUUUUACUGGAACCGCGUGUAUGAUUACCUCCCUGGUUUAAUGGGUCCAAUCAUCGGGAUGUCGCCGGAUAAGAAAGCGGAAACGCCGGGGAUGCAGGGGGAAAGGGUGGGACUUAGGGGUUUGUGUGGGGGGGGGGCGGGGACUCUCCCGGAGGCAGAGUGUGGUGCAGCCAGCCCAUUGGCCACCAGUCUGGACCGGGGGUCCGUUGGUUCAGGGGGCUCUGAGGAUGAGGAGCUCACCAACCUCAACUGGCUCCAUGAGAACCUGCUCCAGAACUUUACCCUAGGAGGGGCCGGGGGGGGCCCAACCCAGUGCCAGCCCCCUCUUUGACAUUGAGGGUGACACCGGAGCCCCUCAGAACCCCCCCUCUUCAUCCUCUUCCUCUUUGUCACAGAGGGACUUGUUGAAGUCCAAGCCUCCCUUCUCAUUCUCUCUGUUGAUCUACAUGGCCAUAGAGCAGAGCCCCAGUAAGAGCCUGCCAGUGAAGGACAUCUAUGCUUGGAUCGUACAGCACUUCCCCUACUUCUCCUCGGCCCCCACCGGCUGGAAGAACAGCGUCAGACACAACCUGUCACUCAACAAGUGUUUCCGUAAGGUGGAGAGUAGCCUGGGAAAGCUGAAUGGUAAGGGUUCUCUGUGGUGUGUGGACCCAGAGUACAGGCCUAACCUGAUCCAGGCCCUGAAGAAGCAGCACUUCCCUGCAGCACAUGCCUUCUGCACACCGCCUGCCUCCCCACCGCCUGCCUCCACACCGCCUGCCACCUCACCCCAUAGACAUCUCUUCCUGCAGGGCUGCUCUCUCAAAGAGUCUGACAUAGAUGCUGCCACUGCCAUGAUGCUCUUAAACGCCGCCCCUGGCCAUCACCACGCCAAUCCAUGUGAUCCAGAGAGUCCCCUGGACCUGACCCAGCCAGACUUGGUCCUGGUGAGCAGCGAUCCUAACCAGGACCACAACUACAGCAGUAUGGCCCUGCAGCGCUGCUCCUCCCGCUCCUCCUCCUCCUCUUCCUCCUCCCUCGACGAUGGAGGCCCCUCCCCCGGCCAUGCCCGCCACAGGCCCCGUACAUGCCGCGCCGGCAGUGAGGGUUUCCAUAGUGACGAGGACGACUCCGACCUCGGGGACCGGGACGAGAGAGGCGGCCGCCCCCGGCCUGCUCCUCGCCGCUCCUCCUCUUCGGUGAAGCACCCGGCGGGUAAGAGGGCCCGUAGGGAGCUGACAGUCAACCCAGAGCUGGAUGAGGAGCUGAAGGAGGCGGCCGGGUCUCUGCUCCACCUGGCUGGGAUCCGUACCUCCAUGGACCUUAACAAACGCAGUGCCAAGAGCAAAAAACUGAACAGGAAAUGAGGUUGUCAUACUUUCCUGCCCUUGUCGUCAGACUUCUGCCCCUGUAACCCCUGACCCCUGAUCUGAUCACGUGGUCUUGGUUGACGAUGGAGGCCCCUUGGUCUUGGUUGUGCCUCCUCCUUUUCUGGUUGCUGAUUUUUAAGCCUGUUUUUGGUUUGACACAUGAUGAGAUGGGAUAUCCCUCACUAUCCAACACAACAAAUGGCAAUAGUAUCAUUGACACAGGAGAACAAAGCCAUAUUGAGACUUUUGUAACUGGGGUGUAUCAGGUGGGUGGGUCAGGGUAAAACUGGGGUGUUUGAGGACUACUGAGAAGAACCAUCACAAAACUGCUUGUUUCUGAUGGCUUCGCUGCAGAUCUUCACUUAUCAAAUAAUGUUUUGGGGGAUGAAAGACGGGGAAAAGGCUGAAAGUUUUUAUAACUCAAAGCAUUGCAUGCUUCCUCAACCUGUAUCCUCUUCCAAGUGAACCUAUUUCUAAGAGAAUGAGUGCAUGUCUAACAAACUAACCUCUCCUCAUGUUGAAGUCACUUUCUCCGUGCUGAAGAUACCACUAUUUUUUGAUAGGUGACAACCUUGGUCUGGAAUAUCUUCCAAAGAGAGAUGCAAUAACUUAAACCACUUUUUAUAUUAUUUUUCACUGUUGGUAUUUUUCCUGGGUUGAUGACGCUACUGCUGUCUAAAAACAACAGAUUAAAGUAGUGCGGCUGAUCGUAAACAUCCUUACACGGAGUAGAAUGCUGGACUGGGUCCAUGUCAGGAUUUAAUACCAGAGAGUGGAAACGUAACCAAGGGAAUGUUGGAACUCUGCUACUGCCAUGGUGGGCCGGGGAAUAACAUAAAGGUGGCCGACUGCUCGAUCAGGAAGAGUCCACUCUAGUCCUACUCUGAGAAACAGAAUUACAUCGAGAUCUGGAAGAGUCCACUCUAGUCCUACUCUGAGAAACAGAAUUACAUCGAGAUCAGGAAGAGUCCACUCUAGUCCUACUCUGAGAAACAGAAUUACAUCGAGAUCUGGAAGAGUCCACUCUAGUCCUACUCUGAGAGAAACAGAAUUGCAUGGAGAUCUGGAAGAGUCCACUCUAGUCCUACUCUGAGAAACAGAAUUACAUCGAGAUCAGGAAGAGUCCACUCUAGUCCUACUCUGAGAAACAGAAUUACAUCGAGAUCUGGAAGAGUCCACUCUAGUCCUACUCUGAGAGAAACAGAAUUACAUCUUCAUUGCAUUAGAACCUACUCCACUUCAUCGCUCUUCCUCUGCUGACCCCUCUAUAUCUGUCAUACAUUAAUUAUUUGUGUUUAGUGUGUAAACUGAGAAAUUACAUUUAAUAUAUUCUAUCCUGUCUUGUCCUAUUCUAUCUUAUCCUAUGCAAGGUUUAGUGUAGACUAAUCUGGCUGAAACUAAGCAAAUGUUGUAACCAUAGUGAUACCAAGACAAUGCGCUUGGCAUGAGGGCACUCACUGGCAGAUGUGCUGCUCAGUUUUCAAUCAUGUAAUACUAGUCACACAUACUCGAAUAUUUGUAUUCAGGCCAAAGGGAAGUUAAAACAAAGAUGUUAUAAUAAUGUUGUCGUGAGGUUAGAUGGACAAUGUGAGAGACUGUUAUUGUACUACUGCCCCUCCUGAAUGUUGUUGGCUGACCCUGUGGCAGAGUUCAGACCGUGGUGACAGAAAGAGGCUUUGCUUCGUCUUGUUCCCCAUUAAGGAAACAUGGAGGGCAAAUUCAGGAAGUGCACCACUCUUCUCUCCGCUGUACAGUAAUUUGUUUAGGGCCAUUUGAUUAUAUCGAGUUCAGUGACGGAAAGUACAGGAUGUGGAAACAGAACUUGUGAAGUGAUGAGGCCAGACUGGUGCUCUUUGGGGCUUGAAUGUGUUAACCUGCAUUAGUAAGCAAAAUGCCAAUAUGCCCAUAUGAUUAGAAUAGCUUUUAGUUGGUGCACUGCAGUACAGUGUACUGUCCUCUGUCAUGAGCCAACUUAAGUGCAAGUUAGCUUUCCACUUGUGUUGUAUCACAGGAAAUAAUGUUAAAUUAAGUCACGUUGGUAAGUAUAGAUUGUAUUCAGUGCCAAACAUGAAUUUGUGUCACAGAAGUGGAACUACCAAGGCCAUUGCAACCAUCUUCCUCUUCUCACAGCAUUUGUGACUGACAGUAACGUUGUUGCCCCUGUUUUUUAGAAGCCUGCCAACAGGAAAUGUAGGAGAACUCUGACCUAGUCUGAUAUUCAGUUUAUUUAGGUGGUUCUGAAAAGGGAAUCACCGUAUUCUUUGAAUGGGAAUUUUGUUCUUAGAACUAAACUGCAGUUCUCCUAAAUAAGAUGGACAUGGAAUACACUGGUCUUAUCUGGCUGUGAAUAAACGAAGAACAAAUUAAUGGUGACCAUUACAUUUAUUUAUAAUUAAUUUAUAAUGGACUAUUGAAAGGAACUUCUAUCAAAUAAAGGUAAUUUGAAGUGAGUGGAAUGGUUACUUCCUCUCUCCCCUCUGGAAAAUCCUGUUGAGACUUAUUUAGUUUUAUUUUCUAAAUGAUAUUUUACUGCCAUAGUCCACUAUUUUCACUGUUUUAUAGUGUGUCUGAGAAAGUACUGUAUAUUGACAAUGUAUAUUGUCUUUCGAGCGGGUGUUUUUCAAUUUAACCAUGACUGACAAGUUUUCCAAUGUUUUGUUGUUGGAUAAAAGACUAUUGAUUAACAUUGAUUCUGAACCAUUUUUUUUGCCAACAGUGAUGUUGUACAGAGAAUCACAGGUAGACAUUUCAGAUGGCAUUCCCUAUCUUGAUAGGGAAAGUUGAUUUAAUCAUCAUAAAGGCGUUGAAGUGUAUCUGAAUUUGUACUGUUUAUGUUUAGAUAAUAUUCUGACUGCGCUAAGUAGUCAGACCAUAGAUAUUAGUUGGCACCCCCUCUCCAUGUUAGGAUCCUGCCACCAUAGAUGUCACCUACACUUACUGAAACUAAAAACCCACAUUUCUGAGGGUUGCCCUGGUGUUAGUCUUGGUACCCCAUGGACUUGUGUUUAAACUUAGAUAGUUGAGGGCAACUUCCAGUAACUUGUUCAUGCUGUUGCCAGAAGAAAGCUCUUAUCAGACUCAACAUGAAGAUGAUCCUGAGUCUCUCAGUAAGUUCGUUUUUUUAUACUGAACAAAAAUAAUGCAAUAUGCAUUUUUACUGAGUUCGUUUAUAAGGAAAUCAGUUAAUUAAAAUAAAUAAAUUAGGCUUAUCUAUGGAUUUCACAAGGGUACAGCCAUGGGUGAGCCUGGGAGCCAGGCCCAGCCAAUCCGAAUGAGUUUUCCUCCACAAAAGGGCUUUAUUACAGACAGAAAUACUCCUCAGACUAAUAAACACGAUGAGGCACCCUAGGGGUCUGUAUCGUCACCAAUAAUGUUCACUUGACACAGUGACAGAUUAUGCUAAACUCAAAGCUACAAACAUAGGAUGCUUCAUUGUUUGAAAAUGUGUUGAGUAUUGAUAAUGCGUUUUUAUUUUUUCAUUCAGUUGCAAUUUAUUGACUAUGAUAAAGCGUUUUGUCACAUUGAACUAACUAAAGCUGCCGACCCAGUAACCGUCAGUCGUCUGCCAUGUCUGUUAGACAGACUUUUUGGUUUUUGUAUGCUAACCUCUAAUAAAAAUGUUUAUAAAGUUUAUUUUCACCAAAGAUAUGCAAUUUGCAUUAUAUAUGGUAUUACAAAAUAAAAUCUUGUUUUAUCA